rnacentral:tRNA from 1 species
GGAGAGGUGGCUGAGUGGCUGAAAGCGCAUCAUUGCUAAUGAUGUGAGGGACUAAACGUUCCUCCCGGGGUUCGAAUCCCCGCCUCUCCGCCA